GAGAGAGGCUCGACAGCAAUAAUGACUGCUAAUCCCUUAUCCCCGCGGUUAAACCCCACGGCUCACUCG
rnacentral:tRNA from 1 species